ACUAUUGUCUGUAAUACCAUCAUAUUACAGGUACUGUUAACUAUUAGUACCUGAAUUUUGGAGGGAACACAUUCAAACUAUAGCACCUAUUUAGGCUAAAAAGAUAGUUCAUUGUUAGUGUAUGAAAAAACUACUGAUUUUUUAUGUUGAUUUUAUAUACUGCAACUUUAUUGAAUUCUCAAUAAAUGGUGUUGAAAAAACUGGAUGUCCUCAUGAAGAAGAAUGAAAUUGAACACAUCACAUCCCAUAUACAAGAAUCAACUCAAAAUAUUUCCAAAUUUAAACAUUAUGAAGUUUGAGCUAUUUAGGAAGUUAAGGAGAUAACUGGAUCAUUUAGUCAGACACCCUUAAGGCACUGAUGCUCUCAGUUGAUCUAGCAAAUAGGCAUCUGUCACAGAAAAUAGAGAAGAUAUCCCAAGAGAAGAGGAGAAACUCCACAACGUGAAGAGAUUUCCAGAGGCAUUAGCACUCCAUCUGUCACUAUCGGCAUCCUGUGACAUGGUUUAGUUUACAUGUGCCUGGUUAGGCUGAUUUACAUAAUAUAUUAUCUAGUUAUACCUUAAAUAAACCUCAAAAAU
rnacentral:lncRNA from 1 species